CAGGUGCAAAAUUUAAUGAAGUGAAAUGACCCGCAAAAAUGAUAACCCUUUCAACAUGCAUGAGUAAGUACUGAUCACAAUUUAAUGCACAUGUCAUGAUAGUUUCGCCUCAGUCACAUGAGAAUAAUUAUUCUAGCUUAAUUCGGGUACUCCGAAUUCCUGUCGUAACACACAGGCGUUUAAUAUGCAUUUCUGCAUGCCUUAAAGCUGAUUUCCACUGUUGCGUUCUUCGUACGCACGUACACGCACGUAAAACUUUGAAUCUUUCUAUUUUUAAAAUAUUUUACAAAUAAGUUAACAAAUGCAUACUAAAACUUGCGGAACACUAAAUUCUGUUGCUUUAUUUAUUUGGUUAUUUCAUAAGUAACAUUUAAAUGGAUUUAAAGUUUUACGUGAGUAUACGUACGUAUGGAAAACUCGACAGUAGAAAUCAGCCUUUACGUAAUAUUUUUUGUUCUGUACGCAUAACACGUGCUCAAAACCAAUUCCGAUUACAUGUAUUUUUCGACACGUUUCUCAAUUGGCAAGCAAACUUAGUGUUUUAUGUGUAAAAUAACGCUAAAAUGAAUUGAUUUUAAAUGGUACGCCAAAGAGAAAAUGAUGUCUGAAGUUCAGUAUAAGUUUUGCUCGUAUAUUGCUGUAAACAUUGGCGUCACUUUUAAAGCAUCAUUGCUAAUUGUAGUUUAUUUUACUUUUCAGGUUGGAAGGAGGAAACCCGCGCUUGGGCGGACAUGGAUUUUUUUACCUGCACAUUUUUAUUUUUGAGCCCGAUUUUUUUCAUACUCAGUCGUCGUCAGGACGCAAGAUUUCAGAGACAAGGAGACGAGAAGAGCCCAGCUCGUCUGCCUUCAUUUCAAAACUCGCACAUCAUCCAAAAUUUAAGUGUGUGCAUGAAAACAUGCUUAGGCCUCUCUUAGGGCUAGUUUAGGAUGAUAUGAGAAACGAGCGUAAUGACCUCGUCAGAUUAAGGUAGUUAGGACUCAAUGCGUGAGAUAAACGCUUAGCUAGUCCCAUCAGUAUCUGCCCCAAAACAUGUUCGCACAUUUUAUUUUUGUUCAAUGCUCAAUGUGGAGCACUCGUGGAAAAGAAGAAGACUGUGGACGAAGAUUCACAAGGUAUUGUAUUGUGUUAUAUAUAUUUAUAUUUAUCAUUCAGGGUUUCUAAAAAAACCUAGUGACCCUCUAGAGAACCUUGUCCUCAACGCCAGCAACCUCGUCCUCACCGCCAGGAACCUCGUCCUCAGCGCCAGGAACCUUGUCCUCACCGCCAGGAACCUUGUCCUCACCCGCAGCAACCUCGUCCUCACCGCCAGGAACCUCGUCCUCAGCGCCAGAAACCUUGUCCUCAGCGCCAGGAACCUUGUCCUCACCGCCAGGAACCUUGUCCUCAACGCCAGGAACCUUGUCCUCAACGCCAGGAACCUUGUCCUCACCGCCAGGAACCUGGUCCUCAGCGCCAGGAACCUUGUCCUCAACGCCAGGAACCUUGUCCUCAACGCCAG